CGAGACCCUGCUGCGCCUCCAGCCCUUCCCGAUGGCUGGGGACAAAGCUGGACGGUGGCGGCAUGGACUCGACGGCCGAGACGGACCGGACGGGUGACCGGAGGGGACGGUGCCCCCACACCCCCCGGAGAACUGCCUCUCCCUCGGAGCCUGGGAACUCGAAAGUCAACGGAGCAAACCAGGCGGCCGCGGGCCAGAGGUCCCAGGUGCCCAGGAGCUCACUAGAUUUUCAGACUUGGCAACAGCACAGCCGCACAGACACACUCAAAGCUUUGCUCCGGCUCAAUCAUUUCGUUUUCCUUGAAAAAAUGACUGAAAAACACACCUCUGGAAAGACAAGGCUAAACACAGCGUUCUGAGUGUUGCGUGACUCAACUGACCCUCUACGCGACACGGUGAUUAAUGCCCAUGGGUGGAUGUACGAUUGGCAGAGGUUUUAAAUUCCAUGCAUACAGAUUUAAUAACUGCAAAGAAAAACAAAAGCAAAAAAUAAAAAUAAAAAACAACAAACGCUGCAUAUACACGACGUCCCUUUUGCAUUGCACUUUAGAAGGGGUCCAGCAGCACCGCCCCCCCCCCCCCCCGCCCCCCCCAGUAAACCAAGGGCAAACCCAGCAGACUCCGAGACCAAGCAUGUCACCACCUUGCGCGGCCGCCGGGCCCCGGCAACCUCCGCCUCCCAGCAGCUGCCGCGGUACCACCAUUUCAGGAUGGGCAGCCGCCUGUCUACCGGGAAGUCAUUUUUCAAGCUGGGGCAUAAGAAACCUUACACGAUUCGCAUACAGCUGAGAGUAAACGAGAUUAUUUGGAAUAACUGCAAGGAACCCAUUUUGAUAGUGGCAGAUUCGAUCGCUACGGGAAAUGUAGUUUGGGGGUAAAAAGACGAGUCAGGGUUUGCUGUACAAGAUGCUGGAAGGCACAGAACUACCCCCCGAAGUUCAGUUUUUGCAUUUUCGUUUUCGUGUGAUUCCCUUGUUCAACCAAGCACCAGAGGGGUUUCUAAACACUCAGCACUUUGGAGUGAAUGCUCUAGAAAUCAGUCUGCAGUAUCUGAAAAUAAAAACCUCAGUUAGCUGGGCGAUAAAAAGAGAAGGGAAGGUUUCUGACAAAGUGCAGUUCUAAAUAUACGUUUAAAUGAACGAACGAACAAAAAGAAAAAGAAAACGUGAAAUAAUGCUGUUUUGUUCCAAUGCUGCAGCCUCGGUCCCCAAACAGAAGGAGCAACGUGUGCCAAACAGAGAAGGGCCGCCGUGGCG
rnacentral:lncRNA from 1 species